GACGAACGCUGGCGGCGUGCUUAACACAUGCAAGUCGAACGGAAAGGCCCUGCUUUUGUGGGGUGCUCGAGCGGCGAACGGGUGAGUAACACGUGAGUAACCUGCCCUUGACUUUGGGAUAACUUCAGGAAACUGGGGCUAAUACCGGAUAGGAGCUCCUGCUGCAUGGUGGGGGUUGGAAAGUUUCGGCGGUUGGGGAUGGACUCGCGGCUUAUCAGCUUGUUGGUGGGGUAGUGGCUUACCAAGGCUUUGACGGGUAGCCGGCCUGAGAGGGUGACCGGCCACAUUGGGACUGAGAUACGGCCCAGACUCCUACGGGAGGCAGCAGUGGGGAAUAUUGCACAAUGGGCGGAAGCCUGAUGCAGCAACGCCGCGUGCGGGAUGACGGCCUUCGGGUUGUAAACCGCUUUCGCCUGUGACGAAGCGUGAGUGACGGUAAUGGGUAAAGAAACACCGGCGAACUACGU
rnacentral:rRNA from 1 species